GAUGAACGCUGGCGGCGUGCCUAAUACAUGCAAGUCGAGCGAACAGACGAGGAGCUUGCUCCUCUGACGUUAGCGGCGGACGGGUGAGUAACACGUGGAUAACCUACCUAUAAGACUGGGAUAACUUCGGGAAACCGGAGCUAAUACCAUAUAACAUGUUGAACCGCAUGGUUCAACAGUGAAAGACGGUCUUGCUGUCACUUAUAGAUGGAUCCGCGCCGCAUUAGCUAGUUGGUAAGGUAACGGCUUACCAAGGCAACGAUGCGUAGCCGACCUGAGAGGGUGAUCGGCCACACUGGAACUGAGACACGGUCCAGACUCCUACGGGAGGCAGCAGUAGGGAAUCUUCCGCAAUGGGCGAAAGCCUGACGGAGCAACGCCGCGUGAGUGAAGAAGGUCUUCGGAUCGUAAAACUCUGUUAUUAGGGAAGAACAAAUGUGUAAGUAACUAUGCACGUCUUGACGGUACCUAAUCAGAAAGCCACGGCUAACUACGUG
rnacentral:rRNA from 1 species